CCUACGGGAGUCAGCAGUGGGGAAUAUUGCACAAUGGGGGAAACCCUGAUGCAGCGACGCCGCGUGAGUGAAGAAGUAAUUCGUUAUGUAAAGCUCUAUCAGCAGGGAAGAAAAUGACGGUACCUGAGUAAGAAGCCCCGGCUAACUACGUGCCAGCAGCCGCGGUAAUACGUAGGGGGCAAGCGUUAUCCGGAUUUACUGGGUGUAAAGGGAGCGUAGACGGCAGGGCAAGUCUGGAGUGAAAGGCGGGGGGUCAACCCCCGGACUGCUCUUGAAACUGUACGGCUGGAUUGCAGGAGAGGUAAGUGGAAUUGCUAGUGUAGCGGUGAAAUGCGUAGAUAUUAGGAGGAACACCAGUGGCGAAGGCGGCUUACUGGACUGUAACUGACGUUGAGGCUCGAAAGCGUGGGGAGCAAACAGGAUUAGAUACCCCGGUAGUC
rnacentral:rRNA from 1 species